rnacentral:lncRNA from 1 species
AUAAUAAUAAACACGACUAAUACACUAUUCCAAAGUCAUCUACAAAUUCAUUCUAGCUUUUGACUUCUCUUUCUUCUCUUCCAAUAGAGACAUUUGACAUCACUAUUUCCUACUUCCACUUUUUAUAGGUGAGGAAUAAAAGGUGUAAUUUGCACGGGGGCAGUUCUCACAGGCACAGAGGAAGAUAAGGGCCCUUAUUGAACUAAUCGCUGAAUACUUAUGGACGUUUACCAGGAGCAAGCAUAUUAGUCAAAGACCUGGGUUUACAUGCUUCCUCUGCCACUUACUGGUUUGGAGAUUUUGAUCAAGCCGAACCAAGGAGAGAACACUCACUCUUGCCACCUUCUGAUGUGGACAGUGGAUGAAGAAGAACCUCCCAAAUAUGUAAAGUCAAAGCUGCAGGGGGCAAUGGACGAAGAAAAUACUCACUGAGAGCAGAACAAGAGGCUGGUUAACCCAAACAACUAAUACAUCAGCAGGAUGGAGAGUAUUCACCAUUUCUACCCAGGAGAAUUUGAGAUUUACUGUGAGCCAGAAACAGCUGGGUGCUUUUCAGUUUUUAUGUUUCUGAAUGGGAGUUUUUGUUGCAGUUAUCCUGUCCCUACUCCACCAUUAUAUAUCAGGACAAAGGAAGAUAUGUAACUUGUAAGUUUGUAAGUUGAUGCCAGAGCACAAGGAGCCACUUCCAGACCUGAAAGAGAAGACUAUAUUUCACUCCAGUCCUGGAUUUUCAGCUGCAGCAGUAACUGAAUAAGAUUUUAUGUGGGCCCCCUUGAAGAGGAUUUGAGUGUAUUUAUGAAGAAAGAUGAGGGUGCAUGGACACCUGGGUUGUUAGAAGGGCAAACUGACAGACUGAUACCUAUCCAUUGUUAUUAAUUAUCCCCUAGUCCACUUACUAAUAGAACCCCACGAGUCUUAUCGGAACACAG